UACGUAGGGCGCGAGCGUUGUCCGGAAUUAUUGGGCGUAAAGAGCUCGUAGGCGGCCUGUCACGUCCGCUGUGAAAUCCCGGGGCUCAACCCCGGGCCUGCAGUGGAUACGGGCUGGCUGGAGGCAGGCAGGGGAGAACGGGAAUUCCUGGUGUAGCGGUGAAAUGCGCAGAUAUCGGGAAGAACACCCGUGGCGAAGGCGGUUCUCUGGGACGGUACUGACGCUGAGACGCGAAAGCGUGGGGAGCAAACAGG
rnacentral:rRNA from 1 species